rnacentral:rRNA from 1 species
AUUGAACGCUGGCGGCAGGCUUAACACAUGCAAGUCGAACGGUAACAUAAAGAAGCUUGCUUCUUUGAUGACGAGUGGCGGACGGGUGAGUAAUGCUUGGGAAUCUAGCUUAUGGAGGGGGAUAACUACGGGAAACUGUAGCUAAUACCGCGUAAUAUCGAAAGAUUAAAGUGUGGGACCUUCGGGCCACAUGCCAUAGGAUGAGCCCAAGUGGGAUUAGGUAGUUGGUGAGGUAAAGGCUCACCAAGCCGACGAUCUCUAGCUGGUCUGAGAGGAUGACCAGCCACACUGGGACUGAGACACGGCCCAGACUCCUACGGGAGGCAGCAGUGGGGAAUAUUGCGCAAUGGGGGCAACCCUGACGCAGCCAUACCGCGUGAAUGAAGAAGGCCUUCGGGUUGUAAAGUUCUUUCGGUAGCGAGGAAGGCAUUUAGUUUAAUAGACUAGGUGAUUGACGUUAACUACAGAAGAGGCAUCGGCUAACUCCGUGCCAGCAGCCGCGGUAAUACGGAGGGUGCGAGCGUUAAUCGGAAUAACUGGGCGUAAAGGGCACGCAGGCGGUGACUUAAGUGAGGUGUGAAAGCCCCGGGCUUAACCUGGGAAUUGCAUUUCAUACUGGGUCGCUAGAGUACUUUAGGGAGGGGUAGAAUUCCACGUGUAGCGGUGAAAUGCGUAGAGAUGUGGAGGAAUACCGAAGGCGAAGGCAGCCCCUUGGGAAUGUACUGACGCUCAUGUGCGAAAGCGUGGGGAGCAAACAGG